rnacentral:tRNA from 1 species
GUGGUUUUAGUUUAAUAAAAAUUCCUGCUUUGCAAGCAGGGGAUCUAAGUUAAAGGCUUAGAAACUACA